rnacentral:rRNA from 1 species
AGGUCCCCCACAUUGGAACUGAGACACGGUCCAAACUCCUACGGGAGGCAGCAGUGAGGAAUAUUGGUCAAUGGGCGGGAGCCUGAACCAGCCAAGUAGCGUGAAGGAUGACGGCCCUACGGGUUGUAAACUUCUUUUAUAAGGGAAUAAAGUUCGCCACGUGUGGUGUUUUGUAUGUACCUUAUGAAUAAGCAUCGGCUAAUUCCGUGCCAGCAGCCGCGGUAAUACGGAAGAUGCGAGCGUUAUCCGGAUUUAUUGGGUUUAAAGGGAGCGUAGGCGGGCUUUUAAGUCAGCGGUCAAAUGCCACGGCUCAACCGUGGCCAGCCGUUGAAACUGCAAGCCUUGAGUCUGCACAGGGCACAUGGAAUUCGUGGUGUAGCGGUGAAAUGCUUAGAUAUCACGAAGAACUCCGAUCGCGAAGGCAUUGUGCCGGGGCAGCACUGACGCUGAGGCUCGAAAGUGCGGGUAUCAAACAGGAUUAGAUACCCUGGUAGUCCGCACGGUAAACGAUGAAUGCUCGCUAUGGGCGAUACAAUGUCCGUGGCCAAGCGAAAGCGUUAAGCAUUCCACCUGGGGAGUACGCCGGCAACGGUGAAACUCAAAGGAAUUGACGGGGGCCCGCACAAGCGGAGGAACAUGUGGUUUAAUUCGAUGAUACGCGAGGAACCUUACCCGGGCUUGAAUUGCAGAGGAAGGAUUUGGAGACAAUGACGCCCUUCGGGGUCUCUGUGAAGGUGCUGCAUGGUUGUCGUCAGCUCGUGCCGUGAGGUGUCGGCUUAAGUGCCAUAACGAGCGCAACCCUUGUUGUCAGUUACUAACAGGUUCCGCUGAGGACUCUGACAAGACUGCCAUCGUAAGAUGUGAGGAAGGUGGGGAUGACGUCAAAUCAGCACGGCCCUUACGUCCGGGGCUACACACGUGUUACAAUGGGGGGUACAGAGGGCCGCUGUCCGGUGACGGUCGGCCAAUCCCUAAAACUCCUCUCAGUUCGGACUGGAGUCUGCAACCCGACUCCACGAAGCUGGAUUCGCUAGUAAUCGCGCAUCAGCCAUGGCGCGGUGAAUACGUUCCCGGGCCUUGUACACACCGCCCGUCAAGCCAUGAAAGCCGGGGGUACCUGAAGUACGUAACCGCGAGGAGCGUCCUAGGGUAAAACUGGUGAUUGGGGCUAAGUCGUAACAAGGUAGCCGUACCGGAAGGUGCGGCUG